rnacentral:misc_RNA from 1 species
AACGCACAUUGCGCCUUCUGGUAUUCCGGGAGGCAUGCCUGUUCGAGCGUCAUCAAAUCAUCCUCAAGCUUGAAUUCAUUCUCAUGUCUUGGAUCUGGCAUUGGAGUUGCCUUGAGCGAUUCCUUUCCGAAAUUCAAUGGCGAAUUUGUCCGUACCAAUCGGCGUGGUAAUCAACGUUAUGUUUCGCCUUGGUUCUGAUGAUCUGCUGCCGUCAACCCCCAAAUCCUCAGUGUUUUUGACCUCGGAUCAGGUAGGGAUACCCGCUGAACUUAA